UACGUAGGGGGCAAGCGUUGUCCGGAAUCAUUGGGCGUAAAGCGCGCGUAGGCGGCCCGGUAAGUCCGCUGUGAAAGUCCAGGGCUCAACCCUGGAAAGCCGGUGGAUACUGCCGGGCUAGAGUCCGGAAGAGGCGAGUGGAAUUCCUGGUGUAGCGGUGGAAUGCGCAGAUAUCAGGAGGAACACCAAUAGCGAAGGCAGCUCGCUGGGACGGUACUGACGCUGAGACGCGAAAGCGUGGGGAGCGAACAGG
rnacentral:rRNA from 1 species